rnacentral:rRNA from 1 species
UACAGAGGCCUCAAGCGUUAUCCGGAAUCAUUGGGCGUAAAGGGUGUCAAGGCGGUUAUGUUAGUCUUCCGUAAAAUCCAGGAGCUUAACUUCUGGCCCGCGGAGGAAACGGCAUAACUUGAGGGUGGGAGAGGUGCGUGGAACUCACGGAGUAGGGGUGAAAUCCGUUGAUAUCGUGGGGAACACCAAAGGCGAAGGCAGCGCACUGGCCCAUUCCUGACGCUCACACACGAAAGCCAGGGUAGCGAACGGG